CGCUUCUGAAAGCAGCUCAAGAGGCAAAGCUCCAAGUCGUUGGCGUCUCAUUUCAUAUUGGGAGCAGAGCAAUUAACUUCCAUGCAUUCGAAGAUGCCAUUGGAGCAGCCAAAGCAACGUUCGACACUGCAGCUCAACUUGGGCUACCUAAAAUGCAUAUCUUAGACAUCGGUGGAGGCUUCACAUCAGGUCCAAAGUUUACCGAUGCAGCCUCCGCCGUGAAAGUUGCUUUACAAAAAUAUUUCCCCGAUGAGCUAGCUGAUGGUAACUUAAAGAUCAUUGCGGAACCUGGUCGCUUCUUUGCUAAUUCGCCAUUUACAUUAACAACAAGCGUAAUAGGGAAACGAGAAAGGGCGGAGGUUAAGGAGUACUGGAUUAGCGAUGGGAUUUCGGGGUCGAUGAAUUUUUUGAAGUACGAUCACAAUGAAGUGAUUUGCACUCCUCUCAUCAUGAAAAACCCUACAUGCAAAGAAUUGAAAACAUGGAGUUCCACUGUUUUUGGACCGACAUGCGAUGCAGCUGAUACGGUUUUGAAGGGUUUUGAAUUGCCAGAAUUGGACGUGAAUGAUUGGCUGGUCUUUCACAACAUGGGUGCUUAUACUUCAUCCCGUGGGAAUGAUUUCAACGGGUUCAAAACUUCGGCCAUUCCAACUAUUGCCUAUGAAAAUUAAUGGUCGCCAUAUGGUCACCGUUAGAAGAAGCAAAUAAAUGUGUUUUCCUCGUGGUGUUUAAAUUCUCGUAUGGUUGUUUUUGUUGUUUUCUGAUGAGUGGUCUGUUUUCUUUUGUUAAUGUGAUGCUCUGAUUGCUAUGUUUGUGAGCCUCAUGUUUAUAAUAAAACUUUUAUUUGCUGAAGAAAAUAGCUUGUGAAAUUAUGCUGUUGCAGUCCACUUCAUGGAUAAUUUAGUUUCCUUUGAGCUGGUGAUUGGACAUUGCACAGUGGAACGCCAACUCCUUUGAGCAGCGGUGCUGGACAUUGCUUCAAAGUAGAGUAAUUAAAAACUGUUUUAGAAGACAAGGAGCUUAGAUCAUAUUCAGAGAGCAUUGCUUGUAUAGUGAUAAAAAAAAUAAACCAUAUAUACACACCAUAUAGCUGACAGAAUAUUUUGUACAGAAAUGACAGAUAUUGUACAGAAAUGUCAGUUGGAUGAAACUUUCCCAAUGUAAAAAAUCUCAAAUUUUCUUUCUAAAGUUCACAAAUUGGUAUAUAUAUUAAAUUUUAUCACAACAAAAAAAAAUUGUAUACUAAAAUAUUUAAUGAUAGAUAUAAGGGUGGUGAUCAGUGGCGAAGCCAACAAUUUUUUUGGGACCGAAAUUAAAUUGUAUAUUUUUACGAUAGUAAAAUAUAAUUUCACCGUUUCAAUAAUCUAUAUCUUUAUAAUUUUUAAAAGACUAAAUCAAAUUUUUAUUAUUUUUUGGGGGGCAAAGUGCACUUUUACUAUUAUUAAUUUAAAUUUUUAUAAAUUAUAAAAUGCCUAAAUAAAAAAAAAUUUAUUUUAGGGAGUCGGGUCACUGCCAACCCUUGGUGAUAAUGCAUUUACAUUUUAAUACUAUUAAACAUGAACUUUAAAUUUAUAAUUCUAAAUUCUUUUAUUUAAAGAUAGUAUAAAAAAUUUAUGAAAAGAAAAAGUAUAAUAAUAUUUUUUUUCGGGGUAAAGAAAACAAAAAUAUUACUACUUCAAAUAAUCUUUUUCAAAAUGCAGUCAACAUCUUUAUUCCCCUCACGGUCCAAUCUUUUUUAAGAGUUGAUGAAUCUACAUAAUCAGAACAUGAAAAAAUCUUAAAUAACCUUCGUAACAUGUGAAUCAACAGACUCUGCAGAAUGUUCAGACUAUCAAAUAUUCCUCAUAAUUCGACAUAUAAAAUUGAGCACUUCUCCAAGCAGCCUAAAAUCUACUUUCCUUCGCCCUUACUGGUUGCCAAUGCCACAUAUUACUUAGCCUAACUGUAAGUGAUUUUUGAUAAUCUAAAGAUCCCAGAAUAAGUGGAUAAAUAAUUCCUCCUAUUUUUAAAAUAAAAAUAAGUGGUGAUCGCUAGUCUGAAAUAUGGCUUCUUUCGUUUUCCACCAUAAUAAUUAUAACAAUAAUUGGGGAAAUGAUGGCCUUUACAGUAAGAUUCAGCAAUCAAGUCCUAUUUUUAAAAUAAUACUAACAACUGGGCUACAAACAUCUCUUUAUAGAUUUGACAAGUGAUUGACAACACUGACAUGGGAUACUCAAAUCUGGAUUUUUUACCUCAAUAUAUUAAAAAAGUUUAAAUACGUAAAUAGGCUAAAAAGGUAUUUUUUUAAUCGUACCUGUUUGAUAGGCACGAAUUAAUUUUUUAUAUUAAAAUUUUUUUAAUCACGUCUAUCUGACAGGCGCGAAUUAUUUUUUAUAUUAAAAUUUUUUUAACCGCGCCUAUCUAUAGGUGUGAAUUAAUUUUUUAUAUUAAAUUUUUUUCGUUUAAUAAAAAUUAUUUUUUUUUUCCGGAUCAAUAUAUAACCCGAGUAUAGAUACGAAAUAUUAUUAAUCCGUAUGUUUUUAUGUUUAGAUAGUGGGUCUUUUACAAAAAUAAUACAAAAAAAUAAAAAAAUCAAAAUAAUAUAUAUAUUUUUAUUUACCAAAAUGAUACAAAAAAACGAAACAGUAGAAAAUGGGAUGCCACAGGCGGCACCACUUGUAUUAUAAGUCCAGCAUUCGUCCAGUUGAAGGAGAAGAAGAAGGAGGAGGAGGAGGAGGAGGAGGAGGAGGAGGUGGUGCCGAAAAAAGAGAGAAAGAGAAGAAAAAAAUAGAAAAAAUAAGGUAUUUUUUUAAAAGAAUAAUGGAUUAUCUUGUUAUUAUGUUUUUUUUAUAAUUUUUAUUAUUUUUUGUUGUUAGUUUAGUUAUUAUUGUUAGUUAUUAAGAUUAAUAAAAACUCAAAUUGGUGGUUUUAGUUAGUAUUAUUAUUGUUAGUUUUUAUAGGGUUUAGUUAUUAAUAUUAUUUUUACUUAGUAUUAUUGUUAGUAAAAAACUACUAUUAUUAUGAUUAGUUAUUAGGAUUAGUAAAAACCCUAAUUAUUAUUUUAGUUAGUAUGAUUGUUAGUUUUUACAUUAUAUUAUUGUUAGUUAUUAUUUUAGUAAAACCCUAAUUAUUAUUGUUAGUUAGUAUUAUUUUGAGUAAAAAACUAUUAUUAUUGUUAUUGUGUUAGUUAUUAGGAUUAGUGGUUAAACGUUGUUCAUGUACAAAAUGAUAACUGAAGAAGUAUGAGCUUAAGAAUGAAAAAAUUGCAUAUUGAAACAUUAAUUUUUUUUAUUUAAGUAAAUUAUUUACUGUUCGAGAGUGUUUUUUGAGAUUUUGUUUAUUUUUUGACAGAUUGAAUAUUGAAGAUGGAUGAUAAGUUUUUUAUAUGCGUUUAUUUCGAUGGAACCAUCUUGACAACAAUUGUUGGAUGUAUAUUUGAAUGUCGGCAACAAAAUAGCAAUGGGAUUUAAUAGAAAUGUCUCGUUGGAUGAUAUGAAGGGAAUGAUUAAUGCAAAAAUUGUUAGACGUUGUGGGAGAAGGAUAUCAAAAAUUUUCUACAAGUUUCCAGUUUUGACAAAUCUGAUCAAAUUCACCGAAAUGGAACUUGUAGACGACGAAGACGAGGAGACAAUGAUCGCUCUUUACUGUGGGAAUGGGAGUGACAAGAAUGCACCGAUUCACUUAUUUGCUGAGUUAGUCGGUAUGGAGCAAAAUGAAGAUGUCAAUGCAUAUGGUGAAGAACACGGAGCUCAAGAACCGUGGAUGGUGGCUCCAAUAUCGUACGUUGAUAGUGAAUCGACUAUAGGUGGGAUUGGUAUCGAUCUGAAUAUUACAACCGAUAUUGAUGUGGUUGGUGGUGAAGAAGGAGGUGGUAGCGAUCAUUGUGAUGAAGAUGUCGAUAGUGACGGUGAUCCUGAUGUGGACGAUGUACCUGAUGAUAUUGACGAUGAAAGCAGUAAUAACGAUGAAAAUGUUAACGUUUCUUCGAUCGGGAACCAGAUGCGAUGCAUUUUGAUACACAAUAAUCCUGGGCCAUACAUGUCGCUCAUAGACCCCGACGCAACGUAUGUAGCUGAGUUCCCGGAGUACCUUGAAAUAGUUUAUCCUCACCAGCUGUCCGUAAAUUCUGAUCAUGAUGAGUUAUUCGUAGGCCAGAGAUUCGAAAGUAAAGAAGAGUGCGUACUUGCUAUUAAACGGUAUUGCAUGAACAUAUCAGUGGAUUAUAAAGUCACACUGUCUAAUCCGACAAUAUAUAUUGGGGAGUGUUGGAAGGCAGUGAAAGGCUGCAAUUGGCGGGUACGAGUUGCAUUCAUUAAAAGUUCGCAGAUGUAGGAGAUACGAAAAUUUGUUGGUCCUCAUACAUGCACAUCAACACGUAUGACAGAAGAUCAUGGAAAACUUGAUUCGAAAACUAUCUGUAUGUGUAUAAUGCCAAUGGUGAAUGACAUGCCGACCAUUAAAGUUUCGGUACUGAUUGCCAAAAUGCAAGCACGAUUCCAGUAUCGAGUAUCAUAUCGAAAGGCAUGGAUAGCUAAACAGAUGGUAAUGGAGCAAUUGUAUGGGGAUUAUGAUUCAUCGUAUAACGAGCUACAAGAAUGAAUAGCUGCUAUGCGGGAGUAUGUAUCGGGGAUUGUGAUUGAGUUAUAGACAAGACCUUAUUACGGCUCGAACGACCAGUUAUAGUCGGGAAAAAGGAUUUUCCUUCGGAUGUUCUGGACGUUUGAUCCAUGUGUGCGGGCAUUUCCCUACUGCAAGCCAUUUGUGCAGGUGGAUGGGACCUGGCUAUAUGGAAAAUAUACACAGAUCCUACUUCUUGCGGUUGCUCAAGACGGCAAUAGAAAAGUGCUUUCGAUAGCAUUUGCCAUCGUAAAUAAAGAGAACUUGGAAUCUUGGGAAUUCUUCCUCACUAACCUGGGGAGGUAUGUUAUUAGCAACGAUAAUAUUUGCAUUAUCUCCGAUAGAGGGAAAUGUUUAAUUGCAACAAUUAGGCGUUUCGGUGUGCCAUGGAGAUCCGUUUACUGCACCCGUCACAUUGCGUCUAACUUCCAUAAAUAUUAUAAGAAUGCAGACUGGAAGAGACAAGUCGUGGCAAUGGGUAAAUGAUAACCUUAUCUUUUCAAUAUAAGUUGUAAUGUUUUAUGUUAUCUAGUUACUGGAACUUAUCUUUUCUUAAUACGUAUACAACGUACGAGUUAGAGCAACAUAUUUUUCACCAAAGAAUGAUUCGACUUGGGAGUGACAUGGAGGGACAAACAAACACAUCUUUUCGACAAUUAUUGGGUACAAUGGAGCCACGGCAGUGGACUCAAAGUUUUGACGAGGGCUUUUGUUAUGGUCAAAUGACCACAAACUUAGUGGAAGGGGUCAACGCUGUGUUGUUAAAAACACGUCAUCCUCCGAUUGCAUUUGUCUUCUCUGCUACAUUCUACAGGUUGGCUACCUUGAUGCCAAGAAUGGGUCAGUAACAAGUCGACCAGAUGGAGGCGGGAUACGUGUUUGUCGAAGAUGUCAAUGAUGCAAUGGUUGCAAACCGUUGGAUGGCGAGGUCGAUGAGUGUAGAAAUAUAUUCAUGACGUCUGGAAACGUUUUGAGUUAGUGAGACCAUCGGUCGUCGACCCGGUAUACCACCUAGAUCCUAUGGAGUUGAUAUCCGGAACAAAUGGUGCGAGUGUAGGAGGUUCGAAACACUUCAUUAUUCACAUGCACAUGUCGUGGCAGCGUGUGCUAAAGUGAACCUUAAUGUUGAACAAUAUGUCGAUGAUGUGUACAUGCUCGAGCGCACAUUGCGUGUCUAGGAAAAUGAGUUCCCCGUCCUGCCUGACCUGUCUACGUGGGAGGUGCCUUCGCGACUUUCGUGCUUCUCUCAGACAGAGGGCUACGCAGGAAUCCAUUCACUCGGCCCCUUAUUACUCGGUAUGAGCCCUGAUAGUGUUAAACGUGGAGAAAAAAAUAUUAGGAUAACAUGAUUUAUUUCUAUAUAUUACGUAUAUCAUUUUUUAAUAGAACCCGUGAUUAACAAAUAAUAAUAUCUUACCAUGUUAUUAGCCGCAUCAGAUAUGUGAGUAUCACUGUUAAUCAAUGAAGCCAUUGUGAUGCAUGCAACUUCAAAAAAAAUUUAGUAAAAAACCCUUAUUUCGACGAUUUGUUCGUAUUUUUUCCCUGAAUUUUAUUACUUUAAAAAAAUAUACUAUUUUAUAAUUUUAUUAUUUUACAUUAUUUGAGUACAUUAUGUUUGAAAUUUAUUAAUUUAGUGUGUUUUUUUAAAUAAAUUUAGAAAAAUAACCCUUAUUUCGGCCCUUUGCUCGUAUUUUUUUCCCGGAUUUUAUUACUUUCAAUAAAAAUAUAUUAUUUUUAUUAUUUUAUUAUUUUAUAUUAUUUUAGUACAUUAUGUUUAAAAUAGAUUAAUUAAUUCUGUUUUUUAAAAAUAUUUAGUAAAAAACCCUUAUUUCGCCCAUUUGUUCGUAUUUUCUCCUCGGAUUUUAUUACUUUAAAAAAAUAUACUAUUACUAAUUUUAUUAUUUUACAUUAUUUUAGUACAUUAUGUUUGAAAUUUAUUAAUUUAGUGUGUUUUUAAAUAAAUUUAAUAAAAAAUCCUUAUUUCGGUCAUUUGCUCGUAUUUUUUCCCGAAUUUUAUUACUGUCAAUAAAAAUAUAUUAUUUUUGUAUUUUAUUAUUUUACAUUAUUUUAGUACAUUAUAUUUGAAAUGUAUUAAUUAAUUCUGUUUUUUUAAAUUUAGUAAAAAACUUUUACUUCGGCCCUUUGUUCGUAUUUUUUCUCCGAAUUUUAUUACUUUAAAAAAUAUACUAUUUUCUAAUUUUAUUAUUUUACAUUAUUUAGUACAUUAUGUCUGAAAUUUAUUAAUUUAGUGUGUUUUUGAAAUAAAUUUUAAAAAAUAACCCUUAUUUCGCCCAUUUAUUCGUAUUUUUUCCUGAAUUUUAUUACUUUAAAUAAAAGUAUAUAUAUUUAUUUUGUUAUUUUACAUUUUUUUUGGAUUUUAUUUUCGGUGAAUAUACAAUUUUUAUUUUUUUCUUUUCAUAUUUUAUGUUUUCUUAAACAUAUUUUUUAUCAUUUUAUUUUUAAUGCUAUUUUUGUAAAAAAACUAAUUACAACAUGCUAAAUAAAUUUCAUAAAAAAAUUCUAAUCAACAUUGAUUUUUUCAUGCUAAAUAAAUUUUAUAAAAUAUAUAUGCUAAAUAAAAUAAUAAAACACAUACAAUGUACAUAACAUAGAUUUCUUACACAAAUAUUACAAAAAAUUAAAUUAAUACAAAAAAAUUACCUUUACUUCUUUUUUUCUUUAUUUUUCCUUCCUUCCCUCUUCUUGUUCUCCUUUCCUUUUCUUUCUUUCUUUUUCUUUCUCUCCUUUCCUUUUCUUUCCUUUUCUUUCUUAAUUUCUUUCUUCUCCUUUCCUUCUCCACCCCACCAGCCGAAUAGUCCCCCCAUUAUAAGGCGGUGGUGCUGCCUAUGGCAGACCCUCCACUAGGGUGUUGUCACAUCCUCCAGCAGCUUUUUUUUAACUUUUAUGUUUUUUUUGUAUCAUUUUGGUAAAUAAAAAAAUAUAUUAUUUUGGUAUUUUUUUUAUUUUUGUAUUAUUUUUGUAAAAGACCCUUAGAUAGUUUAUAUUAAUUUUAAUUAUAUUAUUAUUGUAAUCUAACAUAAUUUUUUUAUUGUAGGUAAAUUAUGGGAAAUUAUUAGAUAUUUACUGUGUUUUGUUUCUGAAAUUUGAAAUAAUUUAUUGUAUUUUUUAAAACAAAUUAAAUGAAUUCAUUAUUUUAAUUACAGAUUUGCAGCAAAUGGGUUCUUUGAUUAAUAAUAAUCACAUAUCAAGUACUAUUAAUGAAAUGGUAAUAAAAUUUUUAUUUGAUACUCAUGUUAUUUGCUGAAUUAAAUUAAAUUAUAUUAACUAUUUUGCUACACCCAGGUUAUAUACUGAUCCAGGAAAAAAAUUAAUAAUAUUUUAUUAAACAAAAAAAUUUAAUAUAAAAAAUUGAUUCGCGCCUGUUAGAUAGGCGCGAUUAAAAAAAUUAAUAUAAAAAAUUGAUUUGCGCUUGUUAGAUAGACGCGAUUAAAAAAAAACAUACCAUUUCAGUAAUUAAUAUAGCUGACAACCUAUUUACGUAUUUAAAUUUUUUUAAUAUAUUUGGGUAAAAAACCCCUAAAAUCUUAAUAAUUUUAAUAUGACGAGUAAUUUAAUUUAAAAAUCAAAAUACUUGCACACUUGUCAACUUAUAAUUGGUUAACUCUGACAUGGAGUAUCAUAAAUAAUUAUUUUAGUUUUAAAUUUUUGAACACCAAGAAGUAAGAUAAGAAUGUUUGAGUGAGAAGGUAAAUAGAAUUCCUACUGGUUGUGCCCCUAAAUCUUAAAAAUGAGUAAGAUGAGUAAAAUUCAAUUCGUUAAAAAAAAUUGAAUUUUAAAUUUUGAAUUAUUCGAAUUAAGUUAAUCGAGUCAAUUUGAAGAAAUCAAAUACUAAACUAUAUUAUUUUAAAAUUUAAAUUUAAAUUAUUAUUUAAGUUUUAGGUAAACGACGUCGUUUUAUUUUUCAGAUUUUAGAGAUAUUAGUGCCGCAUAGCUAUAAACGCCGCAAAAUUCAAUAAUUAGCGGCGCUUUUACGUUACGUCGCAAAAUUUUUAAGCCAACGGCAUCAUUUUGUUGUUAAGGUUUAGUUACAUUAGUGGCGCAACUUUAAAAACGCCGCAGAUGUCAAGCAUUAGCGGCGCGUUAUGUUAAGCGCCGCAAAUAUAUUUAAGUAAAUGGCGUCGUUUUGUUGUGGAGGUUUAGAGACAUUAGUGGCGCUUUAUUGUGAGUGCCACAAGUAAAAAUAAAUUUAUUUUAGGUUUAAGUGUUUAGUAUUUAAGGUUUAAUUUUUAUAGUUUAGGGUUUUAGGAUUUAUGAAAUAAUGUUUAUUAUAUUGGGAUUAGAGUUUUAAGUUUAAAGUUCAUGAUUUACCGUUCGUGGUUUAUGGUUUAGUGUUUAGUGGUUAGGAGCAAAAGGUUUAGGGGUUAUGGGCUUAGGGUCUAAGUGGUAGUGGCUUAGGGUUUUGGGUUUAAGGGUUUAUAGGUUAGGGGUUUAGGGGCUUAUAGUGUUUAGUGGUUUAGGGUUUAGGGUAUAAGGUUUAAGAUUUAUGAUUUGAGGGUUUAUAAUUUAUGAUUUACGAUUUUAAGGUUAAUUUAGGGUUUAUAGCUUAGAGUGCAUGUUUAGGGUAUAAAGUUUAAGGUUUAUGGUUGAGUGUUAAGAGUUUAGUGUUUACGAUUUAUGGUGUAGGUUUAUGGUCUAGUGUUUAUUGUUUAGGGUUUAAGAGGUUAAAGUUUAAAGGUUACGGGUUUAGAGUCUAAGGGUUAGGGGCUUAUGGUUUAGGGUUUAAAUUUUAUUUUUCCAUAUUUAAGGGUUAUGCUAAAAACAUAGAAAAAUAUAUGUUAAAAAUAGAAAAAAAUAAAAUAGUAUUAUUUAAAAUAAUUUGAAAAUAAUUUUAAGUUUGACCAGUAGUGGCGUUUUUCGUGAAAACGCCACAAAUAUUCAUUGAAAGAUAGCAAAACGGUUUCGUUUUGUCUAAUUUUUUAGUGGCAUUUUUACUAAAAUGCCGCAAAAAGAGUUAUAUUAGUGGCGUUUCUACGAAAAACGCCGCAAUUAUGUUUUUUUGUCUUUGUUAAACGCUGUCGUUUUUAUCUACGUUUUCAGUGGCGUUUUUGCCAAAACGCCGCAAAAUGAUGUGUUAGUGGCGUUUUCAGGUAACGCCGCAAUUAUGUUAUUAGCCUUUUGUAAACGUUGUCGUUUUUAUCUACAUUAUUAGUGGCAUUUUUACAAAAACGCCGCAAAAGGUUAUGUGGUAGUGGCGUUUUUAUAAAAAUGCCGCAAUUAUGUUAUAAGUGUUUGCUAAACGUUGUCGUUUUUAUCUACGUUUUUAGUGGCGUUUGUACUAAAACGCCGGUAAAGGAUAUGUUUUAGUGGCGUUUUUAUUAUAAACACCGCAAUUAUGUUUUAAGUGUUUGCUAAACGUUGUCGUUUUCUAUCUGGGAUUUUUUAAUGCGUUAGUGGCGCUAUUGAUAAACGCCGCAAAUUUUAAUUGAACUAACUUAAACGACGUCGUUUGUUUAGCGCUGAAUUUCCUUAGUUCUCCCCCACUCAGAUUUCCCCAAUUUCAUUUCCCUAUUUCCCAUUUCCUAUCCCCCCAACUUCCCCGAUUUCAUUUCCCCCCAAUUCCUUUUCCCCCAAUUUCCCCGAUUUCAUUUCCCCAAAUCCCCAAAUUCCCAAAUUCCCCCUGUCAUUGCAGUUGUCUCCACUCCGGCGGUCGCUCUGCCACCCGCUUUCUCUGUCGUCCGCUUCUUCUAUUCACUGUAAGUUUCCUUGUUUCAACAUUGCAUGAUUUUUUGUUAUUUGUUUCGAUUAAGGUUAUAUUUCUUUCGAUUAAAGCCCUUUAUUUCGUUAUUUCUUACCUUGUUGAAUCGGGGUUUUUUUUCGAUAUUAAUCUUUUGGAUUAUUUUGGUGAAGGUCACAGACCAACUAAUCUAUUGGAGGAUUAAGGCUUGGGGAGUUGUUGAUCUUCUGUAAGGGUAAGUUACUGAUUUGGGGGUUUAAACUAUGACUUUGCUUUAAACUUUUGACUUCAUAGACAAGAAGAUUAGGGGAUUUGACUUUGCUUUAAACUUGGCAAUCGCCAAUUGCAUCUAUGCAUUUAAAUCAAUGCUGCGUAUUUUAUACAUUGGGUUUUCUCGUAUUUAUUAGUUUUUUUUUUUGCUUUGAUAUUGGUUGGUGAUCCUGGAAUUAAAAAAAAAUUAUUCUCUGUGUUUAGGGUUUUUGGUCUUUGACUGUUUUGUUCAUCCUCCUGAAGGUACUGUAAUGCUUCGAUUGUUCAUUUAUUUUGGGAAUGGUUUCAUUGGUUAGGAACUGAUGUUAUGUUGUUUGUGUAUAAGGUUUCAUUUCAUUGCUUUCAUUUCAGUUUUCUUCAUCGUUCUGAAGGUACAGAACUCAUGCUUUCAUUUAAUUGCAUUGCUUUCAUUAUCAAUGUAACGGGUUAAAUGUUAAGAUUCCAUUUAUUCUUUGUUGGUGUCGGUGAAAUCAUUUGGUACUGUUUUUUUAGUAUGAAAUUUUGAUGUCUAGUUUAGGGUUUAAUUUAUUAAUUUAUAAAAAUGUUCUGUUAAAUAUAAUAACAGCCGAUUACAUUUCCAGUUAAUGAAUUGGAUUUUUAAGUUGAAUUUUAUUACGCCAUGUUGUUUUUUAGUAUGAUUUUUAUGUUCGAUAUAUAUACUCUUUGUUUGUUUGUUAAAAUUGUCUUUCAUCCAUUUUCUUAUUGUCAUGUGGGAUUAUAUAAAGUAGAUUGGAUUGGGAACUGUCAUUUACCUUCUUAUACAUAUACUUAUAUAUAAGUAUAAGUGAUGAAAUGAGAUAAUAUCAAAGUGAUACAUUAGUAAAGAAACUAAAAUUUAUUUAGCCGAAUGGAAAUGGGCCAAUGUGUUCUAGAAUCCGUGUUACCAAUUAGUACCUAUUCGGUUUGUGGUUUGUAAACUAUGAAUUCAAUUUUUAAACUUUCGAUUUAUGGUUUGUAAUCUGAUUCGUAAUCACAAGAUGUACCUCAUGUGUUAGGUUUUAUUUAUUUGAAAUGAAAUAUUUUAAUUAAUUGGUAACAGUUUGCAAUGCUUAGAAAAUGAACACAUAAUUUUCACAGUCUCUCUAGCAUAUUAAUAUUUUCCAGCAGCAACUUAGAAAGGAAUAUGGUUUGCUACAUUCUUGCAAAAAACGCAAUCAUUCGUGCCAAAAAUGCAAUAAAUUUUGGACAGAAAUAUUAUAUCGUAAAUAUUAAAAUUUAUAUUCUUUUUAUAUAUUACAUAUAUUAAUAUGGAUAUAUAACCUAUAUUUCAAUUUUUGUAAUAAUAACAUUUUAAAUUUAAAAAAUAAUUGUAAAUGAUAAUUUAAUAUCUAUUAAAACCAAUAUUUUUAAUAUAUCACCCCAUAUACGAAAUGGGUAUAUAACCUAUAUUUAAAACUUAUUACUAUAAAAUUUAUAAGUUUUCUAAAUAAUUAUAAAUAUUGUUUUAAUAUCUAUAUAAGUUUUCUAAAUUUAUAAGUUUUCUAUAUUAGUAUUAAAUUUAUUAGUAUUAAAUUUAUAAGUUUUCUAAAUAAGUGUUCUAAAUUUAUUAGUAAUAAAAUUUAUUAGUAUUAAUUUUAUAAGUUUUCUAAAUAAUUAUAUAUAAGCUUAUAUAUAAGCUUGCAUAACUUACAUAAUAACUUACAUAACUUACAUAACUUACAUAAUACACCACUUACAUAACUUACAUAACUUAUAUAUAAUAACAUAAUAACUUACCUAACUUAUAUAUAAUAACAUAAUAAAUUACAUAAUACAUAAUAACAUAAUACAUAACUUAUGUAUAAGCUUGCAUAACUUACAUAAUAACUUACAUAACUUACACAACUUACAUAAUACACCACUUACAUAACUUACAUAGCUUACAUUCUACACAACUUACAUAACAUACAUAAUACAUAACUUACAUAAAAUACAACUUACAUAUCUUACAUAAUACAUAACUUACAUAAUACAACAUUUACACAAAUAACUUAUAUAACUUGCAUAACUUAUAUAAUAACAUAAUAACUAACAUAAUACAUAACCUACAUAACUUACAUAACUUACAUAAAUUAAAUAACUUACAUAACUUACAUAACUUACAUAAAUUAAAUAACUUACAUAACUUACAUAACUUACAUAGCUUACAUAACUUAAAUAACUUACAUAAUACAUAACCUUCCUAACUUACAUUAUUUACAUAAUACAUUGCCUACAUAACUUACAUAACUUACAUAACUUACAUAACUUACAUAAAUUAAAUAACUUACAUAACUUACAUAACUUACAUAACUUACAUAACUUACAUAAAUUAAAUAACUUACAUAACUUACAUAACUUACAUAAAUUAAAUAACUUACAUAACUUACAUAAUACAUAACCUUCUUAACUUACAUUAUACACAACUUACAUAAUUAAUAUUAUACACAACUUACAUAAUGCAUUACUUACAUAACUUACAUUACUUACAGUACUUUACUUACAGUACUUACAUAAUACAUAAUACAUAACUUACAUAACUUGCAUAAUACAUAAAAAUAUAACAUAUCAUAACUUACAUAACUCAUCUAUGGUUAUAACUGGCGUUUUAACUUACCCGUGCAAAUUAUUGUCAACGUCAGACUUCAAGAAUUAAGAAAUGGACCGGUCUUGGAUGAAUUUGUCAAGGGUAAGAAACUGUUAUCGAAAUGGAGUGGGAAGAACGUAAAUGAUGAAGUUAAAUGGCUCUCUCAAGGUCCAAAUCGAGUGGUUAAAAGAUAUAGUGCGUUCCUCAUCAAAGGAUUCAGAUUUCAUACAAAAUAUCGCGAGAGGUUGAGGAGAACGCAAAAUUGGGGAAUAGUUGUUAAUUCCUCAAUUACAAGUUAUGCUAGUGCUAGGGACAAUAAUCCUGUCGAGGGAAAUGUGGAAUAUUUCAGACUUCUUACUGACAUAAUUGAGUUGGAUUACUACGGCAAAUGGAAAGUUGUCUUAUUUUGAGGUGAUUGUACUGCUCGUGGAAUUAAGCAAGAUCAAUUUGGUUUUCCAAUGGUGAACUUCGCUCGAUUGGUUCACACAGGACAACAAUUGAUAGAUGAGCCGUAUGUAUUCUCAUCUCAAGUCAAACAAGGUUUUUACUCAAAAGAUCCAACUGAAGAGGGUUGGUACGUUGUACUCCGUAACAUCCCUAAAGACUUGUUUGACAUGGGCAGUGGAAGUAGAGAUAAGAUCGACGACAGAUCAGAAACUUUGUCCUUUUCCAGAACAAAACUUAAACGAUAAUAUCCCUAGUACUAGUACACAAUUUCAAUGGGUUCGUCAGGAUACGGAUGAAGAUAUUUACGAAUAAUGACAUCGUAAGAUUUUACGAUUGUUUAAUUAUAUGUAAUAUCAUAAUUUAAAUCUUGGUCUUAUUAUAUAUUUCAACUAUUUUAUAUGUGUUGUUAUUGUUGUAAUUAGUUAUUAAGUUUUCAACUAUUUUAUGUGUAUUGCAGAUAAAAUGCCUAGAAGAAAAAUUCCAAGGGGAAGCAUUGUUCAAAAUGAUCCAAACUCGACAGAAACAAAUAGUACUGAACAACAGACAGUAAUUGAAUCUUCGAAUGUUCCGAUUACACCUGAGGAUCCUACAGAAGUUCAAAGUAAUUUUACAUUUAAUUUACAUGCACGUUGACUUAUAAUUGAUUUAUUUUUCAAAUUCUUAAAUUAUAAUAUAUCAUUUGCAGCUGAAAAUGGUGGGACGCGCAGAGGUCGAGGACGUAUGCUACUUAGAGAUUUAUACGAGUUAGAUCCAGUCGAGCGUGUCAAGGUAUGCAGAAACAGUUUUGGUCAGCCUGUUGGAUAAGAAGCUCGACUUUUAGCAGGAUACAUGGGCAUUUUAGCACGAAAUGCGAAUAUGUUGCCUAUCAACUACGAGUCAUGGCAUCAAAUGCCCGAUAGCAACAAAAACCAAGCCUUCGAUAAUAUUAAGGUAACAAAAUGUUAGUGUCAUCUGUAAUGCUUGGGAAAUAGUUUCAUUUAUAUUUACUUUAUUAACUUGUGUUUUUUUGUAGGCGAGGUUUGCUUUAGAGGUCUCGGAUGCUUAUGUAAAGAAGGCAUUGGGAAAAAGAUUGAAGACCAUAAAAGUACUUUGAAGAAAUAUUAUUAUAAGACAAAAACAACUCUCAAUGAGAAAUUGCAAAAUGUCCCGCCGGGUAUGCUAAGGUACCAAUGGGAAGAUACGGUUAGAUUUUGGCAUUCGAAGAAAUGCGAGGUAUGACGUACGCCCAAACUAUUGUAAUUAUUUUGGUUUAUAGUAUUUACUAUUUACGUACUAAAAAUUUCAUAACGUAGGAUCGUGAACGAGUUGGAAAAAGCAGCAGGCAAAAACAAAAAUUCACUCACACAGCCGGGCCGAGAAGUUUUGCAUGUGUAGCUGAGGCGGAGGUAUUUUUAAUUUUUUAAUAUUGUCAAAUAUGUAUAACUUUCCAUUAAAUAAUAUUUUUACUACUAUAUUGUAGGAACGGUUGUCCGGUCAAAAAGUUGGAUGCCUUCAACUUUUUGAAAUUACACAUAGGAAGAAAGAUGGAUCUGCUAUGACUCCUGAAGCUGGUGAAAUUAUGGUACGUUUACUUAAUACGAUUUGACUUGUUUUAGUUAUGUAUAGUGUUUAUUUUCUAAUGGUUUAAUUCAUUGCUUGUAAUGCGACUAUUACUAUGUUGCAUUUGUUUUUUUUAAUAUAUAUUGCGUUCUUAACUAUGUGAUUUAUUUAUUAGGAAAAACUAAAGGAUAAAAAGGCGGAGUACGAAGCGAUUGCUUCUAGUGAUAGUUCUGUUCAUCCUGAAGACAUUGACAACCGGAUUAUUAUUGAAGUUUUGGCUCCUGAAAGGUAUGGUCGGGUUCGAUUUCAAGGAUCUUUUGUUAGCCCAGCCCAAUAUUUUGGAUCCAGCUCGCAGCAAUCACUACACCAAAAUAGACUUUUAGCGGCACUUUUAGAGGCGAUUGGACAAAAAAUGCCGCUGAAGAUCGAGAAUUAGCGGCGAUUCCAUCAAAGCGCUGCUAAAAUUAAGAAUUAGCGGCGUUUUUGUACAACGCCGCCAAAAAAUAAGCCCAACAGUAUCGUUUUGUGACCUUUUCAGGCUUUAGUGGCGUUUUUGCUCUCGCGUCGCUAAAUACUCGGUGCCUAUAGUGGUGCGUGAAUGAUAAACGCCGCAGAGAUAUUAAAGCAAAACGCAGGGUUCGGUGUUGAUAAAUUGUUGCUUUAGCGGCGCUAAUCUAGAAACGCCGCCAAAGAUCGGUAUUAACGGCGCUUAUAUACUAAACGCCACAGAAAGUUAACCAAAAUGCAUCGUUUAGCCUCGAGGUAUAGUGGCAUUUAGGGGCGCUUUAGUUACAACGCCACUAAAGAUCUUCAUUAGAGGUGAUUUCACCAUAGCGCCGCAAAAGAUGUUAAAACUAAACGCAGCGUUCGGUGUUCAUCAAUUGUGGCUUUAGCGGCGCAAACAUAAAAACGCCGCUAAAAAUCAAUAUUAAUGGCGCUUACCGGAUAAACGCCGCAGAAAGCUAACCAAAACGCAUCGUUUGGCCUUGAUGUAUGGUGGCAUUUAGCGGCGCUUUUAACCUAAACGCCACUAAUGAUCUUCAUUAACGGCGUUUUCGUUAAAAUGUCGCCGAGUCUGUUAAAACUAAAUGCAGCGUUUGGUUUUAAUCAAUUGCGAUUCCAGCGGCGCUAAUAAAAAAUCGCCGCGAAAGAUCAGAAUUAACGGCGCUUAACGAAUAAACACCGCAGAAAGUUAACCAAAACGCAUCGUUUGGCCUUGAUUUAUGGUGGCAUUUAGCGGCGCUUUAAACCGAACGCCACUAAAGAUCUUCAUUAGAAACGCCGUAAAAUAUGUUAAAACUAAACGCAGCGUUCGGUUUUGAUCAAUUCUGGAUUUCGCGGCGCUAAUUAAAAAACGCCGCUAAAGAUCGGUAUUAACGACGCUUAACUAGUAAACGCCGCAACAAGUUAACCAAAACGCAUCGUUUGGCCGUGAGGUAUAGUGGCAUUUAGCGGCGCUUUGCCUAAAAACGCCACUAGAGAUGUUAAAACUAAACGCAACGUUCGUUGUUGAUCAUUGUGGCAUUCGCGGCGCUAACAUAAAAUCGCCGCUAAAUAUCGGUAUUAACGGCGCUUGACAAAAACGGCGCAAGUAUUUAACCAAAGCGCAUCGUUUUGGCGGAGAGGUAUAUGGUCAUUAGUGGCGCUUUUAUUAAAAACGCCACUAAAGAUCAUCAUUAGCGGCGCACUUUUAUAAACGCCGCAACAAUAGUAAGUAAAAUGACGUUGUUUUUGUUCUUUCGUGGCGUUUAAUUUAUAAACGCCGCAAUAAAAUUAUUGUAUUUUUCCAAUCUAGGAUUUAGAAUUUAAGAUUUAAUGUUAAUGGAUUAGAGUUUUAGGGUCUAUGAUAUACUCUUUAGGAUUUUGGGUUAGAAAUCUAAAAUUUGGGGUUUAAGGGUUAAGGAUACUGUUUGAAAAUUAAAGAAUAACAUUUGGUAUUUACGGGAUUUAUGCGAUUUUGUACUACGUACACCCAUAUUAUAUAUUAAAUAUAAGAAUAUAAAUUAUAUAUUUCGUACUACAAUAACAUUGGCCACACCCGAAUUUCCAGAGAUAUGGUUUAAGGUUUACAGUUUAUUUAAAGUUUAGGGUUUGGGUUUUAUGGUUUAAAGAUUUAGGGUAUAUUUGGGGAUUGUAUUUUGGGGUUUGGUAUAUAUUGUUGUUAAUUUGUGGUUUACGGGUUUAAUGUUAGUAGUUUAAGGUUUAAGAUUUAUGGUUAAGGUUUACGGCAUAUUGAGGACUUGGAUUUUAGGGUUUGGUGGUUUAGUGUUUUGUGGUUUAUGAGUUUUAUGUUUAUGGUUUAAGGUUUACAACUUACGAUUUACGAUUGAGGGUUUUGUGUUUAAUCUUGGAUUUUUAUUUAGAAUAUAAAUUAAUGUAAAUAAGAUUAUAAAUAUAAUCUAUUAUAUUUAAGGAAAAAAACAUCAAAAUGUGUUAAAUCCCAAAAGCAUACAUGAACAAUAUUGGUUUAAUGUUCAAUUGUAUACAUUAACUUAUAAUUAAAUUGAUCCAUAUCUUGUAAAAUAUUAACACAAUUCUCUAUCAAAUUAACAUCAUUUUUAAUUUAUAUAUUGUUUUUAUACAUAAAUAUUUAUAUUUAUUCAAUAUAAAAAUAUAUUGAUUCUCACAUUCUUUUUAAAUUGUGUAUUUGUUUUUAAAGGAUGCAUUAUUCUCUUUUUUAUUACAUAAUAUUUUCUAUUGUAGAUAUAAUUUUAAAUAAAUUAAAAACAUUUUUAAAAUUUGUUGAAUUUUGAAAUAUUUAUUAGGCAUUAGCGGCGUUUAUCUAAAACACGCCGCAAAAGUAAUUUCAAUUUAGCACAAAAUGGCAUCGUAUUUUCUGGUUUUUGUAGUGGCAGUGGUGGCGCUUAGCAGAAACGCCGCAAUAGGUGAGGUAUUAACGGCGCAAUUUGUGAAAACGCCGCCAAACAUUAUUGAAGAGUUGGCAAAACAGCGUCGUUUUCGACAUGUUAUUAGCGGCGUUUUAUUUUAAAAUGCCACAAAGUUUUGCAAACUGUUUUCGAAAUGACUUCGAUUUAGCUUAGAGAGGUUGCGUAACGACCACGUUUUGUUUAGGGUUUACUGGCGUUUUACCUAUAAACGCCACAAAUGGAUUAAGUUGUAGACGAAAACGGCGUCGUUUACUCUCCAGCCAUAUGAUUCCCACACUAAAACCUGAAAUCCCAAAUUUUCCCCAUUUCCCCCAUUUCCAGAUUAAUUUCCAAUUAUCCCUAACCCCAAACCCUUUCAAUUUGCGCCAUCUGAAAAAUCGACCAUCACAUCCGCCGUUGUCUUUGUCCGGGCCGAUCACCUGCUGCGCAAACAUCAGAAGCUCGAGCAUCUCCUUCACCGUUGGACUACUACGGCCGUCGUCAUCGGUUAGUUUCUAGUCAGGCAUUCAUGUGUCAUUUUAGAGAAUCCUGUCGAUACACAAAUAAUGGGUUUUUGGCAUGCUAUAAUUCUCUUUGUUCCUUGCUGCUGCUUCUUGAUUUUAGGGGUUUCCUGGCUUGAUUUUCUUCAAUUUCUUGCUGAUUUUGAUUUUGUGCUAUGUGGUAUUUUGGGUGGCUGCUAAGAAAUGAGAUGAUAGACCAUUAUUUUGAACUUGAUAAUUUCUUUAAUCUUUAUUAGAGUUUGUUGAACAGAAUCAGUAAUAUUGGUGAGGAUUAUGUUAUGUUGUUAGCAGCAGUUUAUCAUCUAUUUAGUUGUAUAUAAAUUCAUUCUUCUGGAUCAAGCUAUUUGCUCAAUUUGUUAUAAGAAAUCAGAGUAUAUUGUUUUAAAGUUAUUGUGUUUUUUUGUGAGAUUCUUUGAAUUUUAAAAUCUAAAGAGCUUUGGGAUUGUUUUAAAACAAUAACACCGAAAGACUGGUAGAAACAGAGAGAAACGUUGAUGUGCUGGGAUUUGCUUUCAAAUAUAUAUAAAAGAAAUAAUAGUUUGUAAAGCCUGUUUUUGGGGGGGCUAAUAUAUAAAGCCUGUUGUUUUUUGCCUUUAAAUUUUCUUUUUUUGGUCAAUGUUUUUCCUUAAAAUUUAAGCUUGAAUUAUUACAUGAGCAUUGAGCAGUCAAGAAGAUAGAAACCUUAAUAAUUUAUUAUUUAUUUACAGAAAAAUGUAAAGCUGUAAAUGUCUGUCCAAUAAUUUUUCCUGCUAGAACUUGGUGCCACUAACUAGCUGACAAUUCCUUCAAAACCCAAUCAUUCAUAUGUUUAUAUAUAUAGAUUUGAUAUUGAUAAUUUUUCCUGCUAGAACUUGAUAUGUCAAUCAAGAGCUUUAUAAUUAGUCUUCAAGUUAAUCGAAAAAGCUUGCGUACACAUAUUACUUCUGGCGUAAUAAACUUUUUGAAUACAUCAUCAUACAUAAGCUAAGAUGGAACAUAAUCAGUUAAAACAACACAAAUAUAUAUAUAUACAUAUUAGUAUUCAUUUCUACUUUUUCCUUUUAUUAAAAUUCUGGUUUGGUGUUUUUUGGGUACUCAUUUAGUUGUGUUUUUUGUUUGGCAGCCGUCUGCUCUGAUAUUUGGAAAAUUUGAGGUAUUUAUUCAUAUAUUUCCAUAGAUUGUUUUAUUAAAAAAACACCUCCAAAUUUUUAAAUUUCGUAUUUGGUUAUAUGUUUGCUUUUAUAGUUUACUUAUGAUUUUCGAGUUUUCAAAUGGGUUUACAUGACCAAUUUUUGCGUUAUAUAUUUGUAUCCCAAUUUACGCGUAAUUUUGCAGCCUAUUACAUAAUUUAAUAAUUCUAAAGCAUAAUUUUAUUUUCUCCCCGUAUUAUGUACCCAAGCAAAAGCAAUUACACAAAUUGAUCGAUUAGUUUAUUCGGUUUAAUGUGAAUUAUUUAUGGGUUUACGAUUUUAUGAUAAUGAAUUAUCAAUUUUACUUCUAAUUUAAUAAAUUAUCGCCGUUAGAUGUGACUUGCAUACUUUAAUGUAUGUGUUUAAUUAUCUUUUAAAUACAAUAAAGUCAUCGAUUAAUUGAUUCAAUGUCAAUGAAUUACCCAUUUAUAAUACAUACAUUACAUAACUUAUUAAUAUAUUUAUGGAUAAAUGAUACAUAACUUACAUAUCAUUUUUAAUACAUAACUUAUAUAAUACGACAUAACUUAUUAAUAUAUAUAUUUUAAAAUGAUACAUAACUUACAUAACUUAUUAAUACAUAACUUAUAUAAUACACAACUUACAUAAUACGACAUAACUUAUUAAUAUAUUUAUGGAUAAAUGAUACAUAACUUACAUAACUUAUUAAUACAUAACAUUUUUAAUACAUAACUUACAUAAUACGACAUAAUAACAUAAAUAUAUAUCAUAUGAUAACUUAGAUAGUGAAAUAAUACCAAUGAAGUUAACAACUUACCCUUGUAAUUUUUGCUGAAAAUCAGACUUGCAAGAAUUAAGAAAUGGACCGGUCUUGGAUGAAUUUGUCAAGGAUAAGCAACGAAUAUAGAAAUGGAGUACAAACUUUUUUGAAUUUUGCAUUUCAAUAAAUUAAAUAACUUACAUAACUUACAUAAAUUAAAUAACUUACAUAAAUUAAAUAAAUUACAUAACUUACAUUACAUAAUACAUAAAAAUAUAUCAUAUCACAAAUUUCUGUAUUUCAUUUAUGGUUAUAACUGGCGUUUUAACUUACCCGUGCCAAUUAUUGUCAACGUCAGACUUCAAUAAUUAAGAAAUGGACCGGUCUUAGAUGAAUUUGUCAAGGGUUAGCAACGGUUAUCGAAAUGGAGUACAGUAUUUUCUAAAUUUUGCAUUUCAAUAUGCAAGCCAAGAGAACAUGAAUCUUUGCCCGUGUAAGAAGUGCGUCAAUAUAAACUGGCAUUAUCGUUAGGUUGUAUACGAGCAUCUAAUUGUUGAUGGGUUUGUUCGGGGUUAUAAACAAUGGUUAUUUCAUGGAGAAUGCCCGUCUAGUACUUCCUCUUCAGCGAUGGAUGUAUCUUAUCCUGGUACUGCUUACUAUCAGUCUAAUAGAGGGGAUGACAUGGAAGGUAUGUUGCGGGAUGUAUUUAAUAUGCACAAUCAUGGUGUCCAGUCGUUCCCAGCGGACUUGGCAGCUUCUGAUGAUUGUAAUAUUGGGAGAAAUGCUUUUACCGAACCGGGAAGUAGUUUACCUCAUAAAGAGCCGAAUGAAGAAGCGGUGAAGUUCUACGCGCUACUUAAUGACAUGAACGAAGAACUGUAUGAGGGAUCAAAAUUUUCAAAAAUGUCUUUCUGUGUUCGUCUUUUUCAAUUAAAAUGUUUGGGAGGGUGGACCAGAAACUCUUUGACAAUGCUGUAAGAGUUUUUGAGAGAAAUGUUUCCGUUUGCAAAAAUCCCUCAGUCAUGCAAAGAUAUGAAGAAAAUGAUAAAAGAUUUAGGCCUUGGGUACAACAAAAUCCAUAGUUGCCCAAAUGAUUACAUGUUGUAUUGGGGCGAUCGAAAAACCAACAGUGCUGUCAUGUAUGCGGCCAAUCCCGUUGGAUUAGUAGAAACACAGAAAAUGGGAAGGACGAUGAAAUGAUGCACAGUCGAGAAAGAAGCCAGUCAAGAUUUUGCGGUAUUUUCCCCUGAUACCAAGGCUUCAAAGGCUUUUCGUGUCGUCCAAGACAGCGGAGUCAAUGACGUGGCACCAUGAUGGACGAACCGAUGAUGGAUUACUAAGGCAUCCGGCAGAUUCUUUAGCUUGGAAAUCAUUUGACAAUAAAUUUCCAAGCUUUGCAAGCGAUCCUAGGAGUGUGAGGCUUGGGCUAGCAUCUGAUGGAUUUAAUCCUUUCAAGAUCAUGAGCACUGCGUACAGUACUUGGCCAGUAGUACUUGUUCCUUACAAACUGCCUCCGUGGAUUUGCAUGAAGUAAUCUUUCCUUAUCUUAUCUAUGAUUAUCCCUGGUGAGAAAGGGCCAGGGAAUGAUAUCGACAUUUAUUUACAGCCACUUAUUGAAGAGUUAAAACAAUUAUGUGCAGGUGUCGAGACAUACGAUGUGCUGAGAAAGGAUAACUUUAAUUUACGUGCGGCUUUGAUGUGGACCAUUAAUGACUUUCCCGCUUAUGCCAAUUUAUCCAGUUGGAGUACCAAGGGUCGUUAUGCGUGUCCUUGUUGUGCUGCACAAACAUGUUCCCAAUGGUUGUACAAUGGGAAUAAGUUUUCUUACAUGGGGCAUCGUCGGUAGUUACCGAAAAAUCAUAGAUUUAGAUUUCAGAGUUCUGUAUUUGACGGCACUGAAGAGUUCAGAGAAGCUCCUUCCCAGACCAGUGGCUCUGAAAUCUUGUUCAUGUUGGAAGAUAUGAAUUUCAUUUAUGGGAAGAUGAACCAACCGCCAAACACGCAAAGAAAUAGAAGAUCAAAUGAUGAAGUUAAUGAUGACUCCGACGAAGAGGACGAUCGGAAUGAGGCAGACUUGUGGAAAAAAAGAAGUAUUUUUUUUGAGUUGCCUUAUUGGGAGCAUCACAUUUUACGACACAAUCUCGAUGUUAUGCACAUUGAGAAAAAUGUCUGUGAGAACAUUGUGGGUACAAUUUUGAAUGUCGACGGAAAAUCAAAAGACAAUCUUCAAAGUCGACUUGAUUUAGUCCAAAUGGGAAUUCGGCCUGAUCUUCAUCCCAAUCCACUUCCGAAUGGAAAAUAUCGGUUGCCGCAUUCUAUUUUCUCAAUGUCCAAAACGAAGAAAGAACUGUUUUGUAUGGUGCUGAAGGAUAUGAAGGUUCCAGAUGCGUAUGCAUCAAAUAUAUCUCGAUGUGUUAGUGUUAAAGAUCGAAGAUUAUAUUCGCUAAAAUCACAUGACUAUCACAUCUUGAUGCAAGAUUUACUGCCAGUUGCUCUACGAUGUUGUAUGCCCAAGAAGGUGACGUCUUGUAUCAUUGAACUAUCCAACAUAAUGAAAGCCAUUUGUGGCAAGGUUUUGGAUGUUCAAGAACUUCAGAAGUUACAGGAUCGAGCCACUUUGACUUUAUGCAACAUGGAGAAAAUCUUCCCACAUUCCUUCUUCACCAUUAUGGUUUACUUGAUAAUCCAUCUCCCGCACGAAGUAAUUCUUGGCGGACCCGUUUUCUAUCGGUGGAUGUAUCCCAUAGAAAGGUGUUAAUUAAAAUUUUUAAAAUUUUCCUUCAUUCACCUCUAUGCCUUUAGUUACAACUUUUGAUAAUGUUGUAUAUUGUGUUUAGGUUCCUAUCCAAAUUAAAGUCUUACUGCCGCAACAAGUGAUAUCCAGAAGGAUCGAUUGCUGAAGGCUACUUGGCAGAGAAAUGUAUGACCUUCUGCUCAAGAUAUUUGGAAGAUGUCGAAACAAGGUUGAACAGACCAAAUAGGAAUGCUGGACUCACGGACUAUAACUUAGCCGACACUUAUUUGUUCCAAAGUUUUGGAGAACCAAUCGGCAAAGUUGAAAUUGCAGAAUUAGAUCAUUUAUCGUGGGUACAAGCACAUCGAUAUGUUCUGUUUCACCAUGAAUCAUUGGAACCUUUACGGAAGUAAGUUCUACAAAUUUUAUAAAUAUUUAUCAAACUAAAAAUUGUUUAUCUUCUAACAAAGAUCACAUUUUUUUAACAUAGUGAGUACAAACAAAUAUUGAGAUCUCGUUCGCGCUCCCGAAGAACACAACAUCGAGAUAUCAAUAAGUUGUUUACAGAAUCUUUUUAUGAAUGGUUAAGCCAAACGGUAUGCAGUUGGAGCUUCCGCUUACAAAUAAUAAUGCUUUCUCAUAACAUUUUUAAUUACUUAGUUUACUUUCCAUUCAAUAGGUUUGGAGUGGGAAGAACAUAAACGACGAAGUUAAAUGGCUUUCCCAAGGUCUAAAUCGAGUGGUUAAAAGAUAUAGUGCGUUCCUCAUCAACGGAUUCAGAUUUCAUACAAAAUAUUGCAAAAGGUUGAGGAGAACGCAAAAUUGUGGAAUAGUUGUUAAUUCUGCAAUUACAAGUUAUGCUAGUGCUAGGGACAAUAAUCCUGUCGAGGGAAAUGUGGAAUAUUUCAGAAAUCUUACUGACAUAAUUGAGUUGGAUUACUACGGAAAAUGGAAAGUUGUAUUAUUUCAAGGUGAUUGGGCCGAUGUUAAUACAGCUCGUGGAAUUAAGCAAGAUCAAUUUGGUUUUACAGUGGUGAACUUUGACCGAUUGAUUCAUACAGGACAACAACUGAUAGAUGAACCGUAUGUAUUCUCAUCUCAAGUCAAAAAAGUUUUUUACUCAAAAGACCCAGUCGACGAGGGUUGGUACGUUGUACUCCGUAACAUCCCUAGAGACUUGUUUGACAUGGGCAGUGGAAGUAGAGAUAACAUCGACGACAGAUCAGAAACUUUGUCCUUUCCAGAACAAAACUUAAACGAUAAUAACCCUAGUACUAGUGCACAAUUUCAAUGGGUUCGUCAGGAUACGGAUGAAGAUAUUUACGAAUAAUGAUGUAGUAAGAUUUUACGAUUGUUUAAUUAUAUGUAAUAUCAUAAUUUAAAUCUUGGUCUUAUUAUAUAUUUCAACUAUUUUAUAUGUGCUGUUAUUGUUGUAAUUAGUUAUUAAGUUUUCAACUAUUUUAUGUGUAUUGCAGAUAAAAUGCCUAGGAGAAAAAUUCUAAGGGGAAGCAUUGUUCAAAAUGAUCCAAACUCGACAGAAACAAAUAGUUCUGAACAACAGACAGCAAUUGGAUCUUCGAAUGUUCCGAUUACAUCUGAUGAUCCUAUAGAAGUUCAAAGUAAUUUUACAUUUAAUUUACAUGCGUGUUGACUUAUAGUUGAUUUAUUUUUCAAAUUCUUAUAUUAUAAUAUACCAUUUGUAGCUGAAAAUGGUGGGACGCGCAGAGGUCGAGGACGUACGCUACUUAGAGAGUUAUACGAGUUAGAUCCAGUCGAGCGUAUCAAAGUUGUACGAAACAGUUUUGGUUAGCCUGUUGGAUCAGAAGCUCGACUUUUAGCAGGAUACAUGGGCAUUUUAGCACGAAAUCUAAAUAUGUUGCCUAUCAACUACGAGUCAUGGCAUCAAAUGCCCGAUAGCACCAAAAACCAAGCCCUCGAUAAUAUUAAGGUAACAAAAUGUUAAUGUCAUCUGUAAUGCUUGGGACAUAGUUUCAUUUAUAUUUACUUUAUUAACUUGUGUUUUUUGUUUUUUGUAGGUGAGGUUUGCUUUAGAGGUCUCAGAUGCUUAUGUAAAGAAGGCAUUGGGAAAAAGAUGGAGAGACAAUAAAAGUACUUUGAAGAAAAAAUAUUAUAAGACAAAAACAACCCUCAAUGAGAAAUUGCAAAAUGUCCCGCCGGGUAUGUUGAGGUACCAAUGGAAAGAUGCGGUUAGAUUUUGGCAUUAGAAGAAAGGCGAUGUAUGAUGUACUUCCAAACCAUUGUAAUUAUUUUGGUUUAUAGUAUUUUCUAUUUACGUACUAAAAAAUUCAUAACGUAGGAUCGUGAACAAGUUGGAAAAAGCAGCAGGCAGAAACAAAAAUUCACCCACACAGCCGGGUCGAGAAGUUUUGCAUGUGUAGUUGAGGCGGAGGUAUUUUUAAUUUUUUAAUAUUGUCAAAUAUUUAUAACUUUCUAUUAAAUAAUAUUUUUACUACUAUAUUGUAGGAACUGUCGUCCGGUCAAAAAGUUGGACGCCUUCAACUUUUUGAAAUUACACAUAGGAAGAAAGAUGGAUCUCCCAUGACUCCUGAAGCUGGUGAAAUAAUGGUAAGUUUACUUAAUAUGAUUUGACUUGUUUUAGUUAUUUAUAGUGGUUAUUUUUUAAUGGUUUAAUUCAUUGCUUGUAAUGCGACUGUUGUUAUGUUGCAUAUGUUUUUUAAUAUAUAUUGCGUUCGUAAUUAUGUGAUUUAUUUAUUAGGAAAAACUAAAGGAUAAAAAGGCGGAGUACGAAGCGAUUGCUUCUAGUGAUAGUUCUGUUCAUCUUGAAGACCUUGAUAACCGAAUUAUUACUGAAGUUUUGGGUCUUGAAAGGUAUGGUCGGGUUCGAUUUCAAUGAUCUUUCGUUAGCCAAACCCAAUAUUUUGGAUACAGCUCGCAACAAUACAUGGCUUCGGGGAGUCAGGCUCAAGCUGAAGUUCAGAGGUUAAAAGACCAGAUGACUCAGAUGCAAGCUACCACAGCUGAGGUUCAAAGGAAAUAUGAAGAACUCCAGUUACAACUUAAAGCAGAGGCGGCAGCGAGGGAAGCAAAGGCUGCAGCGAGAGAAGCAGAAGUUUAAAAAAAAUAAAGAACUCCAGCUACAACUUAAAGCAGAUGUGGCAUCGAGAGAAGCAGAGCAAAGCAAAAAGUACGAUGAACUUCAACAGCAGCUUCAGAUUAUGAUGAAGAUGUUUCAACAAUUGCAACUUCCGCCGUCAUAGUGUAUUGCAUAAUUAUUUUUACCAUUUUAACUUUUAACAUUUUUGUAAAGAAAAGUAUGAAUUCACUUUUAUUUAUUGAUAUUAAUAUUAUUUUAUUCGUUUAAUUUGAAAUAUUAUAUAAAUUUAUUGCUUUUGGCUGGUUUAGAUCUGGUUGCUUUUGAUUUGUUGUUACAGGAGGGCUGAAAAAAUGAAAAUUUUUAUUUUACAAAAAUCUCAAAAUUAGUGGCGUUUUUUAUAAAAGCGCCGCUAAAAGUCAUGUUCUAUAGCGGCGUUUGUGAAGUAAGCGCCGCUAUAGAACAUUUCUUUUCACGGCGUUUGUGAAGAAAGCGCCGCUAAAGAACAUGAUCUUUAGCGGCAUCUUUUUUUAAGCGCCUCUAAAGAACAUGAUCUUUAGCUGCGUCUUUUUUUAAGCGCCACUAAAGAAUAUGACCUUUGGCGGCGUUUUUUUCGAAGCGCCACUAAAGAACAUGACCUUUAGCGGCGUUUUUUUUCUGUAAACGUUAGCGACGUUGUCGUUAGCGGCGUUUUUUGCGGCGCUUGUUAGUGGCGCUAAAAAACGCCGCUAAAGGCCUAAAAAAACGCCGCUAAAAACUUGUUCUGGUGUAGUGCUGAUAGCUGAAAGUUGAUAUGCGUAAAAUGACAAAUAAAUGCAUAUCACAUUUUAUUGUUAAGUAUUUAUUUGUUUAUAAUACUUUAGUCUUUAUUAAGUGAAAUUAUUGAAAUAAAACAUUAUUACCAAGGAAUUAAAACAUCCAUUACGAAAAUUAAUUAGUGAAUAUUUUUGAAAAUUUAAAUAAACAAAAUUCUUAAGUUUCUUAUUUGCAAAUAUUAACAUUGUAGAAAUUGAUAAAUUUUAAAAGUGUAUCAAUAUAAUUGUAAACUAUAUUCUUAGUGAUAAUUAUGUCAUGUUCUUAGUAUGUAAAUUAAUGAUAAUUAUGUCACACUUUGAAUAAAUUUGUCAAGUAGCAUAUUUCGAUUAAUAUUAAAUUGCAUAAGAAAUUAUUUUACGCAAGUAAAUUGAAAAUAAAUUAAGAGUAUAUAAAUAUUCAAGAAAUAGAUACAUGUGGCAGUGGGAGUAAUUUUUGAACAAGCAUGGUCAGAUAUGUCAUUCAAUAUAUCUCAUUCAUAAUCCACAGUGAAAAAGAUUGUCCAUCCCAGUGUUUUUUGUUUUGGAGGUUUUAGCUCAACAAGCUCUUUUAAACCUCCAUUCACCAAACACUACAAUUAGAGAUUUGACUAUCCAAUCCUUCACUUGUGCCCAAAUCAAAUAAAUAAAUAAAAAAACUCAAAACUCCGUUUAUCAAACUCCCCCAGAACUCCCUAUUCUUUAAAUUAAAGUAAACUAAAAACUCUAAUAAUCCUAAAAAAAAACUCUUAUUAAUUUAAUCUAUUAAGAUUCUUAAUUAUCUAAAAAAAACCCAAUUAAAACUUCCUCACGUCAUUUUUUUAUUUUUUAUUUAUUUUUCCACUAAUUCUCAUUUAUAAAUAUGAUGAAUACUUUUAUAAAAAACUCUCAAGUCACUUUCUUUUGUACCCCAAACCCGACCUAAAUGUUAUGGCUAAAUCUUGAAUUGUUACUUAAUAUGAUUGAAAACUUAGUUUUUUGAGUAAACUUUCAAAAUCUCAAUUUUAUUCAAAGUCAUUUCUUAUCGUUCUAAUUACUAAAAACGUUGCUCGGUGUAUAUUUUAUAAAUUUCGCAGUGAAAGACUCCUAAAAAGGUAACAUUUGAGAAACACGGUUCAAUGUUCUUGCACAAAAAGAAAUUGCGUCAAUUAAACAUUUAAGUGGUAUUAAGCUAAAUACGAAAAUAAAGUUCUAAAUCCCAAAACAGUCCAAAAAAAAUCACAGGAAUGGACAGAGAAUAGAACGUGAGAACAAAACCUUUUAAUUUAAUUAAUAUUUUUUUAAAAUAAAAUAAAAUCCCACCGAACCCACAUAAACAAAACAAAUUAUGGUCAUAUCACUCAUGAAGGGACUCAAACCUCAAACCUACUAAAACAGAUUCUGAAUUAUAUGACAAAAAUCUAACAAAUCAUCUAUAUGAAUUUAUGGAGUGUUACAUUUAAAUAUGAUUUUUUUAUCAAAUUUAUUUAAAAUUACAAAUUUAAUAAUAUAAUAAACCAUAAAAAAUGUAUUAGUCGGUUCAAAAGUUGUACUGAACUCGUGUUUUUAUAAAUAUAGAUAAUAUAAGAUUAUUAUAUUUAUGUAGUAAUAAGUUUUUGACAUCUUAUAAACUAAUAAUUAAACAUAUAUAAUUGUAACACGAUAGAAUUAUAUAGGGGAAGAGUGCGAAGUUUACUACAGGAGUUUUGCAUGAUUGCAUCUAUACUUUUCCAUUUUGUCAUCUUUUUCUAUUGCUUUGAAUUGAGCUUGGUUUGGUCGACGUUUCCUAGUGGGUGAUCUUUCUAAUCCUAUAGUGGGAAUCAGCCAAUGUUGACUCCUUUUUUGUUGCUAUCUAGAUUUAAAGACCAAAGGUAACACGCUACCAAGGGGUUUGGAAAAUUUUCAAUCCAUGAACGAAGCUACAGUUGUACGAUCUACUUCUAUAAAUGGACGACCUUCUUGAUAAUUUCAUCUACUCACAACUCUUUUUUUCUGUCCAACAAGUCUCUCCAAUGGUGGGUGAAGCAAAGUUGAUAGAAAAUAGGGUGGAAAAACCCGUCUCCACAGAUGGUUUAUUUCGUUUUAUUAAAUCAGUCAUUUCCGAUGAACAACAAGAAGAAACAGGCCCAUUUUACGUGCUGGAUUUGGGUGCUACGAGGUCCCUAGUCGAGACAUGGUUCCAUAAUCUUCCCAUGGUUCAACCUUUCUAUGCAGUCAAAUCCAACCCUAACCCCGCUUUCCUCAAAGAAAUGGCAGCUCUCGGCACCGGCUUUGACUGUGCAAGCCUUCCUGAGAUUGAAACCAUUUUAUCGCUUGGGGUUUCGCCUGAUCGAAUCGUUUUCGCAAACACAUGCAAACCCGAGUCUCACAUCAAGUAUGCAACUAAAGUUGGCGUUAACUUAGCCACUUUCGACUCCAACUGUGAGCUCGAAAAGAUAAAGAAGUGGCACCCGAAAUGUGAACUGUUGAUCCGAAUCAAAGUCCCGGAAGCCAGUGGUUCAGCAUUCAUGUUCGGUUCCAAAUUCGGUGCACUCCCUGAGGAAAUUGUUCCCCUUCUGAAAGCUGCUCAAGAAGCGAAGCUCCAAGUUGUCGGAGUCUCGUUUCAUAUUGGGACUGGAGCAAUUAACUUCCAUUCAAUCCAAGGUGCCAUCGAAGCAGCUAAAACAACGUUCGACUUUGCAGCUCAACUUGGGCUACCUAAAAUGCAUAUCUUAGACAUCGGUGGAGGCUUCACAUCAGGUCCAAAGUUUACCGAUGCAGCCUCCGCCGUGAAAGUUGCUUUACAAAAAUAUUUCCCUGGUGAGCUAGCUGAUAGUAGCUUAAAAAUCAUUGCGGAACCUGGUUACUUCUUUUCUAAUUCGCCAUUUACAUUAGCGACAAGCAUAGUAGGGAAACGAGAAAGGGGAGACGUUAAAGAGUACUGGAUUAACGACGGAGUUUGGGGGUCUAUGAACAUUUUGAAGGACGAGCAUGACGAAGUGAUUUGCA
rnacentral:lncRNA from 1 species